rnacentral:misc_RNA from 1 species
AAGUUGGUAGGCCUACUUAGUGGUUAUCUUACCAUUAAAACUUUAAAAGCUGCUUCCAUAGACACAUGAAAGUGAAAGGUGCUGCUCAUUUUCUAUGUUAAAGGAAGCACACUCCUUGUUUUCUCAGAGUGUGUCUACAUGCUCAUCAUUUGAUCUUAAUAGUUUGGGAAGACAACUAUGCCUAUGUUCAUGCUCAUUGAUAAUUGCCAAGGUUGGAAAACAUAUUUAGG